AUGAAGCCUUUCCUUUUACACACACAGAAACAAAUUUGAGAUCACCCAUAUUCUUACAACUCAGUUUUCUAGAGUGAACAUUUGCCAAAAAACCCUUCUAACCUAAAUAAGAUUAUAGAUUAUCUUGUAAAUUGGGUUAAUUAGUAUAGUGUUGGGUAUAUCAAUCCAUAAAAAUAUAAAAAUAGAAUGGAUGAAUAAAUAAAUUGUUGAUGACAGGGAAAACUGAUGACUUUUAAUCUGAAUGCAGGUAAAAACAUUAAAAUCCCCAGUAACAUCAUGUUAGGCUUGUGCAGUAAUGUCUUUAAUUUACAAAACAAUUUCUCCAUUGCACUUUCCUUCCACUCUUGGGGAUAAAUUUGAUUGUAACUAGUUAUCUGAACAUUUUAAUUUAAAAUUCUAAUCUACAUCUCUGGAGACUGGAGAACAUACCACACACACACACACACACACACACACACACACACACACACACAGAGAGAGAGAGAGAGAGAGAGAGAAGAAAAAAAAGCAGUGGAAAUCCCACAAUCCCACAAAGAAUAUUUUGGUAACAAAUUACAGCACAAAGAUAUGUUUGUUUGUUUACUGUAUUUUGUGUUUGCUGCACCUGGUAAGAGGUGAUUUUUUACCAUCAUUUAAUUUAACUUUCUAAAGAUCCACACUGUUCUAGGUAAUAUGGUUAGUAGACAACCCUUCUACCUGUAAAUUUUUAGUACAAGUAGGUUCAUUUUUUAAAAUAACUUACUUGCUUGUGUUCAUAAUAUACUCAGAUUAGUUCAGCUCCAUCAGAUAAACUGGAGACAUGCAGGACAUUAGGGUAGCUUUGAAAUAAAAGAAUAACAAUCUCUUAGUUACAAACAUAACUAUGGAAUCAAAUAAUUCUAAUUUCUAGAUUGCUGGUGAUGUCAGUAGGCCCACUUAGCAUUGGUCAAAUGCCAAGCAAUGUGUAAUUCUUCAAAAAAUACCUGACCAAGACUAUGAGAUGGUCAGAUGCAAUCAAUGCUUUUAAAUGAGUUUUCAUUAAAACACGCAGUUUGAGAGAGGCCUCUCAAAACUGAGGUUUGAAAACAUUUUUGUGGGUUGACAGUCCUUGUAAAAACAAUCCAUGUGCAAGGCUGUACUCCAAAGUAAUUGGUCGUUAAAAAUGUAAAUUUCCAGGGAUUUCUUUGUUUUUGUUUUUUGUUUUUUUUUUUUUUUUUUAACAGAAUUUGGCUCUUGUCGCCAGGCUGGAGUGCAAUGGUGUGAUCUCAGCUCACUGCAACCUCCACCUCCCAGGUUCAAGCAAUUCUCCUGCCUCAGCCUCUGAAGUAGCUGGGAUUACAGGUGUGCACCACCACACCUGGCUAAUUUUUGUAUUUUUAUUAGAGACUGGGUUUCACCAUGUUGGACAGGCUGGUCUGAAACUCCUGACCUCAGGUGAUGCACCCACCUUGGCCUCCCAAAGUGUCCAGGGAUAUUUUGAUUUUUUAUGUUGCCUACAUGGUUUUAUAGAGUCCUUAAAACUGUCCAGUACAAUGCCCGCUUUCCCAUUUUACAGAAAGAAGAAACAGAUUGAGAGUUGUCAUGCACUUAUUCAGGGUAAUUUUGGCCAGCACAUAUGCCAGAUGUGGGCUUACCCUACUGCUAAGGAUCACAGGCAAAUGCAAGAUUCACAGUCUUUACAGGCACAACUAAAAGGCAUUUCAAGUCCUUUAAAUAAAAAGGAAAUCUUUUUAAGGAGAAACAAUAAAUAUGUCCAUGCAUACAGCUGUCAAUUGCUGGAGUUUGGGUUCCAACCCAUGUCUACUGGAUUCCAACGCCCCCUUUCCUUCAUUUCCCUAUAUCCUAGAUCCAGUUCCAGUUGUAGUUCAUCUGAAUAGUGAAGGUUAAUAUGUACAGAGUAAUGUCUUUGAAUGUAGGACAGCAGGAACAUUCGAGGCUGUAAGUGCUAGACAUGGUUUCCCAGUGUCUCUUACAAGUAGCAGUGUCUAUGUGACACAGUUCUGUCUAAUACAACCUAAGCACAAGUGUGGAGGUUUCUGGGAAAGCCUUUAUUUCCUGAUUCUAGCCCUAAGCCUUAUUUCUCCUUUCUUUCCUUCCUGAAGCAGACAUAGAAAGGGAGGUGAAGUAGCCCUCUUGGGACCAUGAGGUGUGGAGCAUAAAGAGGAAGGUCUAUAUGCUUAGACACAGCUGCCUGGGAGGGUGGGAAUAGCCUGCUGGCAACAUUGAGGGGCUAAAUGGGGUUGGAUGCUUUUUCUCACAGGCUCUUAUAAGUAACUUUUUAAGGUUUUUCUGUUAUUUACUCUAUCCUGAGAUAGAUAGAUGAUAGAUAGGUGAUAGAUAGAUGAUAGAUAGAUAGAUAGAGGAUAGAUAGAUAGAUAGAUAGAUAGAUAGAUAGAUAGAUGAUAGAUAGAUAGUGUGUGUAUAUAUAUAUAUGUGCAAAAUACAUUUUUAUUAAGAAAUAAACUUACAGUCAUCAGUUUCCUAUGAGAGUUUUAGGCAUACUUUAGUGGCACUUGAAUUAGAUAGUCUAAGGAUUGAAGUGAUUAUUUGAGUGUUUAUACUAGAUGGUUUACCACAGGAAAUCUUUGUACCACUGAAAGAGGAGUCAUAUAUUGAAAAGCAGUGAAUACAGAUUCUGGGUCCAGAAGCCCUGCCUCCACGGAUUUUGUGGAGGACAGGAUGAGGGAUGUGGGUCAGGAUGGGCUCUGCCGAGCUGCUUUCUGCAUCUGGGGGUGCAUCUUUGUCUUGUCCAAGUUGUAAGUUUCCUGGGCAUUGCCCUCGUCCUUCUGUGUUGGAAUCUCCAUUUCAUAGAGCACUCCUUUCAGCUUUGUCCCAGAUGACAGGUGGCCUCUGAGCUUCUACAGCCCCAUAUUGAAUUCCUUUGCUUGUGGCCUUCUACCUGCACCAUCUUCCAGCGCCAACUUUGUCUAUAGGGCUUUGCCAACAGUUGUAAGAGAAACUUAUUUUUAAAAUAUAUAAAACCCUGCUCUUUUAUAUUUUACCACUAAUCUCUUUUCCUAGUUUUGUAUUUUCUACAAAAUUCUUAUUGUUUCCCAUGAUCUGUCAACAACAGGCAACUCAUACCUGAUCCCAAUGACAGUCGGUGCUACAUUGGAUCUGUUUUUUUUCUAGUUUUUUUUUUAAAUUAUUAUUUCAUUGAGAUUUGGAGAAUAAGAAGAAGUAAACACUUUUAUUCAAGCCUCCAGUGCUGACUCUCCCCAGAUGCCUUUGGAACUGCUCCAGAUGUUUAUGCUUUCCUUUCAGGUUAUCAUGCUGCUUUAUCCAGAAGAAUCAAACAAGAAAUGAAGGGCCAUCGUGAUCUUCAAAAAGUCUUCUUCUCAGCAAACUGCUGGAAAUACUGCUGUAGCUCUGGUAAUGAUGGUUGCCUCUCAGAUAGGGCUGCCUUCAGCUCCGGUGGCAAAUUAGCAAUGAAUUCCAACAUGAUAAUUAUAGUUUCUGUAUCUUUGUUGAUGAAGGAUGGUACAAUUUCUGUUAA
rnacentral:lncRNA from 1 species